rnacentral:rRNA from 1 species
UACGUAGGGUGCAAGCGUUGUCCGGAAUUAUUGGGCGUAAAGAGCUCGUAGGCGGCCUGUCACGUCGACUGUGAAAACUCGGGGCUCAACUCCGAGCUUGCAGUCGAUACGGGCAGGCUAGAGUUCGGCAGGGGAGACUGGAAUUCCUGGUGUAGCGGUGAAAUGCGCAGAUAUCAGGAGGAACACCGGUGGCGAAGGCGGGUCUCUGGGCCGAUACUGACACUGAGGAGCGAAAGCGUGGGGAGCGAACAGG